CCUACGGGGGGCUGCAGUGGGGAAUAUUGGACAAUGGGGGGAACCCUGAUCCAGCCAUGCCGCGUGUGUGAAGAAGGCCCUCGGGUUGCAAAGCACUUUCAGUGAGGAAGAACGCCUGGUGGUUAAUACCCAUCAGGAAAGACAUCACUCACAGAAGAAGCACCGGCUAACUCCGUGCCAGCAGCCGCGGUAAUACGGAGGGUGCGAGCGUUAAUCGGAAUUACUGGGCGUAAAGCGCGCGUAGGUGGCUUGAUAAGCCGGUUGUGAAAGCCCCGGGCUCAACCUGGGAACGGCAUCCGGAACUGUCAAGCUAGAGUGCAGGAGAGGAAGGUAGAAUUCCCGGUGUAGCGGUGAAAUGCGUAGAGAUCGGGAGGAAUACCAGUGGCGAAGGCGGCCUUCUGGACUGACACUGACACUGAGGUGCGAAAGCGUGGGUAGCAAACAGGAUUAGAUACCCUGGUAGUC
rnacentral:rRNA from 1 species